UAAACACAUUCGACAGACCAUAUAUGGUGUCCCAUAAAUCCCUCUGGGGGAUAAUACGUGAAUAAUUAGUUCCCUAAAUGACGAUUCUUGUCAUCGCAUGCGGUAAGGUUGUUUCGCUUAUUCCUCGGUGAAUGAAAGUGUCUCAGUAUCGGUGUCCUGCACAGAGAGCUACAGUAGCCUACAUAAUUAACUACGUAUACUUCGUACAGCAGUAUUCUUGCAUCCACAAACUCUCUAUUCCAGCAACCGUUCGUAACGUUCAAACAUACGUAUUGGAUUGCCCCAUAACAAAUGUUUGGUAGAAUUGCGACUUUUAUUUCAACACGUACUGUACACAUUUUUAAGACAAGGCGCAACAUGUUCGCUACUAUACCCGGAAUGUGCUUAUUUGGCGUGCCAGUGUGGGUAGCUGUUGGACUGCCAUCAUCAGAAGGACAUACCAAGAAGCCGGAUAUUGACAGAGCAACUACAAACGACCAGGACACUUGCUAACAGUAAAUGGACUCAAAGGAUUUGGCGUGUUCGGCGAUUUUGAAACAUUGACCUAGUCAACAUACAAACGUUAUUCAUUAUAUUCAAGUCUCACAUUAACAUCCAAUGACAAGCGCAAGUUUACCCACACGACUUCCUUCAUUUACUCAUCGCACUUGAUAGCUUGCUUGAUAUCCGAAUUUCAGUUUAUAUCGACACGUGUCUUAGUGUAUCAAAAUCAGCGAGUCUGAUUCUUAGUUGGGCAUUAUAUACGCUUAAACGUUGGCUGGUUUUCCAACGGAUUUUAGAAAGUCAAAACUACGCAGGCAGAGUUUUCAUUGAUGGAAUUUUAUAAUGUAGAAAGUUGAGAAAAGUUUGCAAAGUGAGCUAAAACUAGUGCUCUCAUUGAGUGAGAAACUCUCUUAAUCAUGAUUGUUCGAAUAAUUUGAAAAUAAAUCGAUGAAUUGAAUGUAGACAAAUUAUGUUGACUGACUAAAUACUGCACAUUUUGUGAUUUUUUUUUUCUAUUAAUUUAAAUUGCAUGAAAUAAUAAAAAUAUGUUUUCAAUUAAUAA